GCUGGGGUAGCUCAGUGGUAGAGCAUCUGCCUGAAGAGCAGAGGGUCGUCGGUUCGAUCCCGACCCCCAGCA
rnacentral:tRNA from 2 species